GAAGGGGGCUAGCGUUGCUCGGAAUCACUGGGCGUAAAGGGUGCGUAGGCGGGUCUUUAAGUCAGGGGUGAAAUCCUGGAGCUCAACUCCAGAACUGCCUUUGAUACUGAAGAUCUUGAGUUCGGGAGAGGUGAGUGGAACUGCGAGUGUAGAGGUGAAAUUCGUAGAUAUUCGCAAGAACACCAGUGGCGAAGGCGGCUCACUGGCCCGAUACUGACGCUGAGGCACGAAAGCGUGGGGAGCAAACAGGAUUAGAUACCCCGGUAGUCCACGCCGUAAACGAUGAAUGCCAGCCGUUAGUGGGUUUACUCACUAGUGGCGCAGCUAACGCUUUAAGCAUUCCGCCUGGGGAGUACGGUCGCAAGAUUA
rnacentral:rRNA from 1 species